rnacentral:lncRNA from 1 species
AGGUUAUGUAAAAGAAACAUCUUGGAACAGCUACCAGCCACAGCUGGGAACUUAAGCUCCAACCUCAGGAGGGAGCAGAACAAGGUUAAUUCCAAUGGGAAUACAAAAGUUCAAACACAAGAUGAAAAUAGGGUAGGAGCUCGAUUUGCACAACACCUUUAAGACCCAGGGACUGCUUUUCUGGCUACACAUAUGCAUCCUUUGAUCCUCUGUUUCUUUGAGUUUUGGUGUUGCAAUUGUUUUAUUUGAUUUUGGUUAAACAGAAAAUGCUCUGAGAAGUGACAGGGUACCAACGGGCUGGGGGACAGCAGCACUAGCCUCUCAGUCUCACUCCAGAGAAGAGCAAGGAAGGGGGACAAGACAGUGGGAAAUAAUGAACAAAGCAGCUUGGACUCUGGAGCCCAAAAGUCAGCUGAGGGGCCAUGGGAACUGGUCGGACCUGCCAAUCACCUAAAGCAUUAGCCUGUGAAAAGACUGUGCCCACCCAGCCCAGGCCUCUGGAUUGCACAGGACAAGCCCCUGUCCCAAAAUACAGCACAGAAACAAACUGUGAGCAUACCUCAGCUUUACUGCUGAGCAUAUAAACCACUUUAGAGAAAAACAGUGGUAUUUUGUAUAAGAAAUUGGCAAGACCCACGGUGUUGACAAUGUGCUGAGAGUUCAUGUUUGACCUCACCAACUCUCAACCUAUUUGAGUUUCCAGCCCCUCUGAAGCUUGAUGACUACACAUCAGUAAGACUUCUGAUUAUGGAAACAUUUUCUCUACUGUGUCCUCCAACUGUCACUUGAACUGACUGGUAAAAUUUUAGCAGACAAUAGUGAGACUGUCAACGAAAACAGUAACUCUUUUAGUGAUUCCAGAGAGAUCUCUGGAUUUACUUGGAUGUCAAGAGUUCAGGCAUGGUGGAGGGGUACUGAGGAAGAAUGGCAACAAUUCGAGCAAGACAUAUUAUCGGAAAGAAAUUGUCCUUUCUGGAAGAAAAGAAGUAUCUCUGGGUUACCAAGCAACGGCUUCAGGCAAAUCACCUCAGAUCUGCUCUCCAUUCCCCCAGGGUUGUGGGGGUCCGAAGCACAAGCAGAUGUCUGGAGGGAGCUAUUACUCACAUCCUCCCCUUCUUAAUUUCCCCUUCUUAAUUUCGCUCGGUGGCAGUAGCAGCAGUCACAGACCAAUCUCUAUCACUUCAGGAAAGAAGGGGGCAGAAACAGGUAAGAAACUGGCAAUAAAAGGGCAAUAGGAAGAAAGCUUUAAUCUAAGCCUUUGCCAACUGUGGUGAGGACAAACCCACUCUGUUUUGUUCAAAAGGUAUUCUUUGGAAGGAAAAAAAAAUUAGAUAUGUUGAAAGGAAAGAACAUUAAAAAGGGAUUCUGGUGUUUUUAUCCAGAUCACUCAGCCUCUAGUUCUGAAAUUCUCCUAAGAGCUCUUGCUAGAAGUCAGAGUUCCUUCAACAGAAAAGAAGAAAAGAAAAAAAUUAAGGGGGAAGUGGUGAGAUAAUUAGGUAGGAACACACGCUUAUAAGUUCUAUCCCCAAAAUACAGAGUGUGAAUAAUUAUAUAAGGAGAUGAAAUAUGAGUAAAUAUGGAUAUUACAACCUUCUUUGAAAUUAGGCCUUAUACUGUUUAAUGUCAUUUUAAUAAUCUUGUGGUUUAUUCUAUAAUGUAUUUUCCAAAUUGCUGUAGAAAGCCUGAAGGCACAUGUACAAUGAAAUCAUUCAGCAAAGUUUUUUAAACAAUU